UUUAUUGGCAUCACAGUAAAGAUAUUCCCAAUUAUUCACAAUCUUUCAGACUCUACCAUAAUCAACGCCAUGAUAGCAUAAUCAGUGGACACCGUAGCGCCCUGAGGAGGUAUCGAUACUUUUAGCAUUGAGAUAUUCUGGAGGCCUGUCCAAUCAUCGUGACACUGCAACUAUGGAAAUUAUCUAUCAUACAAAUCUGUAAAAAAAAGGCCCUUGAAUAAACUUGCGAAAACUAAGAAUCUACUGAGGAUUAGUCAGGUAUGUGCUCAACUGUUCAAUAUACACAAAAUUUAAGCUUCAUUUGGUUAAGAGAUAAACGAUUUAAUCGAUUCGAAUUCCACCUUCGAAAAACCCCCCCCUGAAAUAUUUUGAUACAUUAUUUAUAGAGGAAAUCAAUUAAUCAACUAAUUAAUUGGGCUAACAAGAUCUCCCCCAUGAAGCUCCUUUAACGA